AAGGGCGAUGAUUAUAGAAAAAUUCUUGAAUGCCACCGCCAUGACAUGACAGACGCCUAACACCCAUAGAAUAUGAGCACC